rnacentral:rRNA from 1 species
AUGCUGAUGGUGGUGCUGCUGCUGCUGGUGUUGCUGGAGCAUGAACUCCUCACCAGGCGCAGGCAUUGCAGUUGGCACGACAGGCAUGGCCGCUGCCGUCUGUGCCGCCUUGGACUCGAUGAGCCGCCACAUGUACCAGGCGGCGACGGAGCGGUAAGGGCGCCAGCGCUCGCAGAGCUUCUCCAUCUGCGACGGCCGGGGCACAUCCUCCAGCCCAUACAGCAUCUGCACGCCCUUGCGGAUCCCGAGAUCCGCGGAGGGGAGCACAUCCGGGCGCGCCAGGGAGAAGAUCAUGAACAUGUGGACGCUCCAGGCGCCGAUGCCGUUGACCAUGGUGAGCAUUGCGGCGAGGGAGCGGUCGUCCAUGGCGACGAUGCUGUCGUCGGAGAGGAUCCCCGACGCGUACUUGCGGGCGAGGUCAUGGAGGUAGGACGCCUUGCGCGCGGAGACCCCGAUUUGGCGGAGCUGCUCGGGGGAGAGCGCGAGGACGGCGUCCGGGAGCACGCCGGCCUCGCCCCCGACGAGCGCGAUGAACCGGGAGUAGACGGAGGCGGCGGCCUUGAAGGCGAGCUGCUGGUAGAGAACGGAUCGGACGAGGGAGUGAAAUGGGGGAUGCGGGCAGUGGAACGACGGGGGGUCGUGCGCGUCGAUGACGGGGGCCAGGGCCGGGUCGGCCGCGCGCAGGUGGCGGAUGGCCGCGUCCACCUCGCCGUCGGCCGAGAGGGGCCGGCCCCGGACGGACGGCACCAGGCGGGGCUUCUUGGGCGCCGGGUUGGAGCCGGACGACCGGGCCUUCUUCUUGGGGCGGGAAGCGGAGGGGGGGACGACGAGGGCGGUGGCUGGCGGCGUAGCGGCGGCGGAUGCGGCGGGCGACGGGGAGAGGGGAUGGGGAAAGGGCUGGGAGAGGGAUUGCUCGCCCAUGGAUGA